CAAAUCUUAUCUGGUAUUUGUAAUAAAUUUAAAUCUCUAAUCUAAUUGAAGAUAGAUAUCUACAAUUAAUUACACAAUUUAAAACAUGGGGGCUUGCUGGAUAGUUAUUGGCAAUCAUUUACAGUUUUUCUUUAAUAUAUGUUUUAGGUGGAAAAUUUAUCGAAAUGGGCUCAAGAAAAACAAAAGCAUUCUUGAAAGACGGUUUCACCUACACCCAAACUUCUAGUGGUAACUGGUAUUGCAGCAGGAGGAACAACAAAUGCAAAGCGAGAGUGAAAAUUGUUAACUUUGAACAUACUAAAAUUGUGAAUUAUAGUUUUAUUCACAAGGAGCACAAUCAUGAGCCAAGUGUCAUGAAAUUGACUAAGUAUGGAUAUUAUAUACGCGAUCCGUACGGGAGAAGUCCGAUGCCGGCGGUUAACAGACAAGUACCUGUACCGGUGGUUGACAAGCCGAUAUCUCCACCCGUGGCUGACAAUAUAGUGUCUUUACCGAUUGCUGACAAUCUACUGUGUGUACCCGAUUUAGAUUUAUAAUAUAUACAUGUAACAACAUUUCAUUGAAUUUCAUUAAGUACCAGUUGUGUUUUUUUUUCUUUAUAGUGUUAUUUUAAAUAGUACUUUGUACUUUCUAUUCAUAUUUUAUGAGAGGUAGUAGCGGAAUUAUUUUUUCAUCAUACUUGCUCCAAAAAGAUGUUAUUUCAUGUAAGUGUACUGAAGGACAAAGGCCUAUAUUGUUCCCGCGGGAGUUAUAGAUUGGGAAAAAAAGCUAUAACUCCCUAGGGAGUUAUAGAUUUUUUUUUUUUAAUUAUAUCACUAAUUCAUACAAACCAAUUAGCAUAAAUGAGUUUUACUUUUGAAAUACUGACUUUUAUAAUUUAAUGUUUUUGUUUAUGUUUAAAAAUAUUUAAUUUUAUUAAUUUAAUAGGCGUUUAAAAUAUUUUUACAUAAUUUUCUUUCUUGUGGCUGAAUGUCAAAUAGAUACAAAUCUAUUGAUCUGUGCCUUCGAUGCCUAACCUGUCAAGAAAUGACAAUAUGGCGGACGAAUGUUUGAUAUGUCACCAUAUUUAAGAAUUAUUUUUUUCUAUGCAAGUGUUAUGAAAAACAUUGUGUGUAACUCCGGGGGUAAGAAUAUUUCAAACUCGGGUCUCUCAUUCCCUCCAGCCUGCGCUGCGGCUGUCGGGAAUUACCACCCUCGCUUCCAAAAUUAUACUUACCCCCUCGUUACGUUGCACAAUGUACUAAUUUGCACACUGCGAAUUUGAAUUCACUGGCCUUACAUACGCGCAGAGCUUGUUGGUUAAAUUAUGAUGUAUUGUCAGUUUUUAAAGAAAAAAUCUCUGUUUUAGAUGGCAUAUUUAUCGAAAUAGGCUCGAAAAGAGCGAGAGCAUUCUUAAAAAAUGGUUUCACAUAUACUAAGAGUUCUAGUAAAUUCAACUGGUGUUGCUCUAAGAAGAAUAAAGGAUGUAAAGCGAAAGUGAGAAUCAUUCCGGGGUCUGAUGAUAAAGCAGUGAAGAGCAGCUAUGUCAAUAGGAAACACAACCACGAGCGAAGUCUAUUGAUACGUACUAAGGGUGGAUAUUAUAUACGCAAUACAAUAUCUAUACCAGUUGAAGAUUGUAUACGACUCAGCAAAAAUCUUUGUAAAAAUUGAAACUAUUGUGGUAUUAAUGUUAAAAUACAUGCUGUUACGCGAAUUUGACAGAGAUAAAAUCUUGACCAUUGUAUUUUAGUUUUAAUAUCAAUUUGACUAACGAUACUUAAAUUGUGUUGUUUUUCGGUGCAUAUCGUUUUGUGUUAAAAAUAAGUUCUUUUUUUAUUUAUAGAACAAUUACAAAUCAUGAGUAUUCUGAUACUGAUUUUCGCUUUAGCGUGAUGAAUCAAUUGUUUGUGAUGUUCAAUAAACAGGAUGUGUAAUCUUUUUUAACUUUGUAUGCUGUUUUAAUUCAUCAAAUAAUCUAUGAAUAUAGACGAUUGUUGGUUGGUUGUUUUUAAGAACAAACGCUUCUCUUCUCCUUUCAGGAGGUACAUUUAUCGAAAUAGGCAAGAAAAGAGCAAGAGCGUUUAUGCAUGAUGGUUACACUUACACCAAGUGUGCUAGUGAAUUCAACUGGUAUUGUUCUAAGAAGAAUCAGCGAUGUAAGGCGAAAGUGAGAAUUAUUCCCGGUUUUGAUGAAACUGCGGCGAAGUGCAGCUAUAUCAAUAGCCAACACAAUCACGCACGAAGUAUCUUGAAACGUACAAAGGAAGGGUAUUAUGUACGAAAACCAAUACCGACUGUGGUUGAAAAAGUUUUUCUUUAAUUUCGUAGGUACUUGAAGCCAAACUGCAUAUGUUGCAGCUCUUGUUGAUUUCCUUUUAAAAUGCAAUAUAAUUUGAAGAAACGAUCACAAUUCAAUAACGAAACUAAAAUAUACUAGUCAACGCCUGUUUGGUAAUAAUAUAUAUAUAUAGUCCUCCUCAUCGAUUUCGAUGACGGCGACCUCAGCAAUUACGGAUUACGCCGAUUAUGGGCCCUAAUGUGGCUAGCCAGGCCGAACUUGGUCUUAAAGACUCUUUUGCAGGUGUUACAAUAUAGUUGACCAGACGCGUUGUAUGUACGAGUAUGUAUUUUUAUAGGCAGACGUCCGGUUUAUUAUCCCAUCGCCCAGUAUUUAUUCCAUCGCUUUUACCCAAUAGCCUAGUUCAUUUUAGACUCCUUCCACUCUCAAUAGUCCUUACACCCUUGCGGGUACUGCCUCCUCGUGCGUCUCAUAACACGGGCAAGGGCAGCAAUGGCAGCAUCCGCUUGGUGUACCCUUUACAUUUCAUUCAAGUGUUAAAACAGCCCCUACGUGUUAUGCUUCAGCUCCGCGCACACCUCCCAAAGGUCUGGAACACCAUUGUCCCGUGAUAGGGAAGAUAUACUUAUGUUUCCUACAUAUAUUGUUCGUCGACUAAUAUUUUUAUUAUUGUUUUUGUCUCAGGGGUAUAUGUUUUCGUGUGACUUGUAAAUGUAAACAAAGACGUAGUUUAAAUACAAAUAGCUAUGUACUUUAGAACAUCUCUUGUAUUAAUAAUGUUGUAUAAGUAUUUUAAAUUUUAGUCUAAGAUUACACUUUGUUUAGGAAGCACUGGUGGCCUAGCGGUAAGAGCGUGCGACUUGCAAUCCGAAGGUCGCGGGUUCAAACCCCGGCUCAUACCAAUGAGUUUUUCGGAACUUAUGUACGGAAUAUCAUUUGAUAUUUACCAGUCGCUUUUCGGUGAAGGAAAACAUCGUGAGUAAACCGGACUAAUCCCAACAAGGCCUAGUUUUACCCCCUGGGUUGGCAGGUCAGAUGGCAGUCGCUUUCGUAAAAAGUAGUGCCUACGCCAAAUCUUGGGAUUAGUUGUCAAGCGGACCCCAGGCUCCCAUGAGCCGUGGCAAUAUGCCGGAACAACGCUAGGAAGAAGAAGAAGAAGAUUACACUGUGUUUAGGCAAAAUUUGUAGGUUUCUUCAACAUUUUUAACCAACAAAGGUUGUGCCAUUUCCGCAUUUACCUCCGAGAUAUUACUUAAUAAAGUAGCGUAAUAUUGUACAAUGUGGUUUUUCAUUAAUAAUAAUAGAAUAUUUAAUUAAUAAUAAUAGAAUACAAUACUCUUUUUUUUAAUAAAUAUUAUAGGACAUUAUUACACAAAUCUCAAUAAGGCUUGUGUUGAGAGUACUUAGACAACGAUAUAUAUAAUAUAUAAAUAUUUAUAAAUACUUAAAUACAUAGAAAACACCCAUGACUCAGGAUCAAAUAUCCAUGUUCAUCACACGAAUAAAUAAAUGCCCUUAACAGGAUUUGAACCCGGAACCAUCGGCUUCAUAGGCAGGGUCACUACCCAUUAGGCCAGACCGGUCAUCAAACUCUUUAUUGCAUAAGUAUAUUAUUUUCGAUUAAGUCCCGUAUUCGUUUUAAAACUAUAUUUUUUCUCUUUCAGGAGGCACAUUCAUCCAAAUCGGUCCAAAAAAGGCAACGGUAUUUUUGAAAGAUGGCUACACUUAUAACAAGUGUGGUAAACACACUUGGUAUUGCUCAAAAAAGUUUAAAGGAUGCAGGGCAAAAGUGCACAUUGCUCCUGGUCCUGAUAAUACAGAAGUUGCGAGGUGUACAGGAGGCACAUUCAUCCAAAUGGGCCCAAAAAAGGCAACGGUAUUCUUGAAAGAUGGCUACACUUAUAACAAGGGUGGUAAACGCAACUGGUAUUGCUCAAAAAAGUUUAAAGGAUGCAGGGCAAAAGUGCACAUUGCUCCUGGUCCUAAUAAUAUAGAAGUUGUGAGGUGUUCAGGUGAUCACAAUCAUGAAAGGAAUAUGUUGAAACGUACUGAAGACGGGUAUUAUAUUCGGCCAGGAGCUCUUGGACGGAAUCCAAAACCUCUAACUAUACCUUCACCAGUGGGAAAAGCAUUGUCAUGCUCAGAAAUGGGCUGGUAUUUAACUGAUCACCAGAUAUAGUAAAAUUUAACAUCAAAACAACCUUUUUUACCACCAAAAAUAGUAAAUGAUAACCAAAAUCAAAGCUCCAUUUUAAUCAAACUAACCAUUGUUAACCCAAAAAUAGUAACUGAUCACUAAAAUGAAAACCCAAUUUUAAUGUAAAAUUAUAACCAAACUUUUUAUGUUCAUCUUACUAUCGUGUUAAAGCAAAUAACUCAAAAAGAAUCGUUGUUAACCCAAAAAUAGUCAAUAACCACCAAAAUAUUAACCACAUUUUAAUUUAUAAUGUCAUGCAAACAUUUAACAUUUCGUUAUCCUAUUAAAUUAAUCCUAUAAAUACUUCGUUGCCUUUUUCUGUAGCAUUUCGUUUCUGUAAGGGUCGCAGUUCUAACCUAACCCACUUUUCUGACAGAAAAUAAUGAAUAGAUUCAGGCGUUACUCUGCGGCAAACCAUACUAAUUAAAACAAACAAUAUUACUUUGCUAAUCCGCGAAUAGAUAACGUGCUAAUCAAUCAGUGCUAACCCGUUAUAAUUACUUGCGUAUUAAUUGCAUGUAAAGGAAAUAUUUUUUGUUUUGAUUUCUGACAGGAGUUCGGUUCUGUGAGGAUCAUUUUACUUUAUUUGGUAAUAUGUAAUUACGUAUACAUUUUGUAGUAAUCAUUUACUAUAAAAUGUAUACAUAUUACCAAAUAAAGUAAAAUGAUCCUCACAGAACCGAACUGCUUUAUUUACUCUUCAAGAUUUUGUGAUCAUUCAUUAUAUUUGGUGUUUGAAAAAAAAUUGAAGUGCAGUCGUGAUUAGUCGUAAAGGAUGUAAUUUUAGACCUUACUUUUUUGGUAAGAGUGAUUUUUUAUUAAGGGUACUAAAGUAUUUUAUGGUGGUCAUUUUAAUUGUAGCUUUGGUAAUCCGGCAGGAGAUAGUUUAAAUCUUGACUAGAAAGUAGCACUUAGUUGUACACCUGAACCUAACAGUCCAACAAUUAUUAAUAUAACUAGUUGUACUUAAUAUAUACUAAUGUGAUUUAUUUGCAUUAGAUUCUUCGCCGUCUUUUUGUGUGUUUCUCCCUGGGCUCAAGGAGUUAUCUCCUCGAACCUUUUUUCUUCUUGGAUCGCCCAUUUUCCCUGAAGCUAUUCCAGAGGCCUUUGAGGUGCGAAAGCAGCUUCUCCUGACCGCCAGGAAAGCCAUUUCUGCGCACGUAGCUCUUUUGUUGUUGCGGGUUUGUUUUGUCGAUCCCAAAUUGACUUACUUCUUGCGCACCGUACCGUCUUGGCUUUACCCCGUGCAUAUUGAAUCCUUUGAUUGUGUGUUAAGGGAGUCAUUGAAAAAUGAAAAUGAAAAUGAAAAAAUAUUUAUUACCUUAUAAAGUAAAGGUUUACAAUUUGACAUAAGUGGUUGGAGCUUCCUUUUAGGUGAAUGUUACUAUUAAAUGUUUCCCUUGAUUCGAAUCAAUGGGAUCUGGCCUCACUCCCUAUUCGGACCGGUGGUCUGGGUAUUCGGCGUGCGUGGAAUGUGAGCCUGCUGGCCUUCUUGGCCGGCUGGGGUUUGUGGCCUUGUCACUCAAAUUUUAUCUUCGAAUGGUGACGAGGUAGCUAUACCUUAUGCUGCGGAUGCUUUGGCAGCAUGGUCGGCUCUCAAUCCGGGUACGCUAGUACCGGAGGAACUGGACCGUCAGCGCUCAUGGGACGAUAUAGGGGUAAGGCGGGUAUUCAAUGGCUUGUUGGAGAAUGCGGCGGGUGUGGAUAGGGCGAAGCUCAAGGCUGUGUCGAGGCCUGAGUCCGGGGCGUGGCUUCAGGCGCUUCCUUCCCAGCAUUUAGCUACCCUUCUUGACAAUGACUCGAUGCGGGUGGCCGUGGCUCUUCGCCUGGGCUGUACUGUGUGUGAACCUCAUGUAUGCAUCUGCGGCUCUAUAGUGGAGAGGGACGGCCAUCACGCGUUGAGUUGUUGUCGUUGUGAAUGUUACUUCAUCAUCAUGCUAUGGAUCAUAAUUUACAAAUUAUUUACGAAAAACGAAAGAAAAGGAACCUUAGAAUUGAUUUUAAUUGACUUUCUCCCUUUAAUAUCUUUUUAAAUAUUGAUACUUUCAAAAAGUUUACUGAAUCUUUUUUGUAAAAAAAAUGUGUAAAUUAUUUACGUUUAACAAGGUUUUUGCUAUUUACGGGUUAUUCACGAAAAUAUAGUAAAAUAGACCAUAAAAUUGAUUUUAAUAAACUUUCGCGCUUUAUUAUUUUUUAAAUGUUGAUCCUAGCGAAAAAGUGCACUGAAUCUUUCGAUUAGGCAAUUUUAUAUAUAUUAUUUACGUUACAGAAAUUUUUUUGCUAUGGGCCACCGUUUACGAGUUAUUUAAGAAAAACUGAAAAAAGGGACCUUUAAACCCGUUAAAAACGUGCUUUGUGGAGCAUCUGGGGGAGGCCUAUGUCCAGCAGUGGACUGCAACAGGCUGACGAUAAUGAUGAUGAAGUAUCGUUGGUGGCGUGGUAACCUUCCUGGUUACCACGCCACCACGCCUUGAAUGAUGUCGUACGAAGGGCGUUGGUCUCAGCGAAUGUGCCUUGUAUGCUGGAGCCACCGGGUCUUAGUAGAUCUGAUGGGAAGAGGCCCGACGGGUUGACCUUGGUCCCGUGGGAGAGGGGCAGAUGUGGGACGCCACGUGCGUCAGCACUUUUGCUGCUUCGCAUGUCAGCCGUACUGUGCGUUCGGCGGGGGCAGCGGCUGAGCUAGCGGCGGCUCGAAAGCGGGAAAAGUAUGCGGGGACGAACUACCUAUUUGUUCCUCUUGCCGUGGAAACCGCUGGCUGCUGGUGUUCUGAGGCCAAGACGUUUAUUGGGGAAGUGGGCAGACGUUUGAGAGAGAGUGGUCAUGACCCUCGUUACGGGUCAUUCUUUAUGCAAAGGUUGGGCUCCUUUGCAUCUGGAGGAACGCGGGGCGAAUUUCGGUAAUAAUUUUUGUGUUUGUUUGUUUUUAAUUUAGGUUAAGAUUUUUUGUAAGUAGAUUUUAAGAUUUUCAUUUUGUAUCUUUGAUUAUCAUCAUUAUUUGUUAGUAAAGUCUAACAAUCUAAUGCAAAUAAAUCACAAGUUGUACUAGGUUUUACUACACUUUUACUUUCCACUGACUGAAUCUCAGCGUACCAAGUUCAUGAGGACAUUUAUUUAAGGGACCGCAUGGCUUUUAAUCACAUAAAAAAUAAGAAAGCUAAAGAAUAGGUAAAUUCAUCUUGCAAAGCGCUUUUAGGCGUUAUUAAUAACGCCUGUGGUGUUAAUUAAAAAAAGUUUUCAUUAGUGGAAUGUUACGAUGAUGGUUGAAAUGUUGUUAGUUGUUAUGCCGUUACAAUUAUGAUAUUUGUUGUAAAAUGAAUAAUAGAAGUAAAAUUUGUGUUUUUAAGAAAUAUUGCUUAUGGCUACAGAAUUUAAAACCACUGUAAGGUUGGUUGUUUUGAGGGAGAAUGUGAAAUUGCUGUCUCCUUCAAAACGAUUAUAAAACAUAUAAUUAAGUGAUUUCCUCACAGUAGUAAUGAAGAGCGCUUUCUAAUAACUCAACCGAAAGUUUAAGAUAGCUAAUUAAAUUUUACCCACUGCACCUUAAGUUAAACAUAUCUCUGAUUAAUAUACUCACUAUAAUUAGUGAAAUUUAAGUUAGUGUAACUAGCUUUAUAACUAUUUUGGUAUGUCUUUGAAUUAUUGUUUUUAUUAUAUUCGUAGGAUAUAUGUUAUAGGCUCAUUAAUUUUUAUUACUUUUAUACUUAUUGUUUUCAUUAUUGAUGUACAUAGUACAGUCAGCAUCGAAAGUAGCGGAUGAAACAACGCGCCAAAAAUAUCUGAUAUUCCGUAUAACUUUUCCAAAUGUAGAUAAUUUUCUAAAAUUCGCGUUCAAAAAUACAUCUUUUACAGUCUUAGUUUUUCUACAUUAAAGACAUCAAUUUUUGUUAAGCUGUUAUAGAAUGGUAGAUGCUUAUGAAGCGUUAUUUGAUCCGCUACUUUUGAUGCUGACUGUACAUAAGUUGAUAAUAAAAUCAAUGCCAUACAUUUAUCUGUUAUGAAUAAAUUUAAUGUAAUCAAUUAUAAUUAUUGUAAUCUCAACGGAAUAAUAUACUCUUUAAGUAAAUUA